UUGAUCCUAGGGGGGCAGCAGUGGGGGAUAUUGCACAAUGGGGGAAACCCUGAUGCAGCGACGCCGCGUGGGUGAAGAAGCGCCUCGGCGCGUAAAGCCCUGUCAGCAGGGAAGAAAAUGACGGUACCUGAAGAAGAAGCCCCGGCUAACUACGUGCCAGCAGCCGCGGUAAUACGUAGGGGGCAAGCGUUAUCCGGAUUUACUGGGUGUAAAGGGGGCGCAGACGGCGAUGCAAGCCAGGAGUGAAAGCCCGGGGCCCAACCCCGGGACGGCUCUUGGAACUGCGUGGCUAGAGUGCAGGAGGG
rnacentral:rRNA from 1 species